UUGUUUUCGGCAGACACAACAUCUUUGUUUUGUAUGUGGUGCUGAGGAUCGAACCCGGGCUGCACGCAUGCCAGGCGAGCGCGCUACCGCUUGAGCCACAUCCCCAGCCCCUGCUGUGGAUAUUUAUGAAAAUAGGUAUUUGACCUGCAUAAUCACUUACAUGUAAACAAUAUUUUGUACAUGCAUGCAUUUACACAGCCAUUCUGUUUUCAACAAAUAGAGUCAUGUCAUGCCUGCAGUUUUUGGCAAGUUUUCAACUUUAUUUCUUGGGGGGCCUUGCACAUACUGGGCAAGAGCUCUACUGAGCGACAUCUUUAGCCCUUAAUAUUUUAUUCUGAAACGGGUCUUGCUAAGUUGCCCAGGCUGACCUUGAAUUUGCAAUCUUCCUACCACAGCCUCCCCAACAGCUGGGAUGACAGGCGUGCACCACCACAGCCUGUUGCACUUACUGUGUCAGUAACUGUAGAAUGUUUUAUCAGGUUCCAUCAUGGCUGACCUAACUAUGCUCCACUUCAAAUCCCUGGAGUUGAUUUCAAGCUUCCACUCUGAGGGGCAGGACUGGUCUGAAUGUAGGAAUCACCCACACGUGUUGCCGCAGGGCAGGGAACCUGAGAAAUCCCAGGCCACCCCCCACAGUGCACCAACACUGUGUUCCAGCAGGGAAUCUGACAGGGGAAAUGGGUCUCCAGUGGGACUGACUUCUACCGUGAUUCCCCUCCGGUUGGCCAUGUCCUGCCUGUCUCUGAGUGCAGGUCUUUGGGGGUGGCAUUUUCUGCGUUUGUAGGGGCCGGAUGCAUCACUGGCAGAAAUGCUGGCCGGUGAAAUGUGCUGGGAAGAUUUUCCCCCAACUUGCCUUUUAACCUUGCCAAUGGUGGAGUUUUCACUGCAGACAUGUUUGACAUCGUCAAGUGGACAACUCGUGGGUCAGCAACCAGAGAUUUCUCUCAACAUGUCUAUUCCCAUUUCCCACACAGCCAAAGGCAGCCUCCUCCUACUUGACACCUUUUGUAUUCACUAGUCACACAUCUGGGUUUCAUGCUGUGGUUUUGUGCAAAUCAGCUUUUAGAAGAAUCUGUGCCUCCCCAGAGGCUCACAGGCCUCCCUCUGUCCAUACCUCCAUGCUUGUCCACACUGUUCACACUUCUCAGACACCUGGAAAGACACCUCAUGGCUUCAGUUGUUCUGUGAGACACUUACACAUCUGCAGGGACAAUGCCCCCUCUUCUUCCAAAGUGUGCCAGCAGCACUGAUGGUGACACGACAUUCAUGACAAUGGAGGGGUCUUGGGAGCACCUGCAAGCACCAGCUCAGGUGCUUCCGACCUGACUUGGGAGCCAUGAGGUGGGCAGGUGGGCAGGCAGUGGCACUGCCUGAAUGGUGAGAAGACACAGGCCUUCCCAGGUGAACGCUAGCAUGGCUCCAGAGCCCCCUGCAUUGUCUCGUUGAACCUCAUAAGUUGCUGGGGGUGCUGGGCACUCCCUCGGUCUCCCCACAGAGAGCGUGGUGUUACCAGCCCUGCAUUUGAAUUUGCUUCGUGACCCAUCACAGGUCCUUGCAGAUGCUGGUGAAAGUAGGGAAAGAUGGUCUCCCUUCUGGGGGAUCCUGUGCCCCACCCCUCAUUGGGAGUUCUGUGCCCAGGGAAGAUGAAAGGAUGGACAUUGGGCCUACUCACUAUCUCUGAGAUACGGACUGAAUGUGUCCCCCGAAUUCAUACUGAAAUCCUACCCCUCAUGGUGGUGAUAGGAGGCGGAGCCAUUGGGAAUCCCUCAUUACUGGAAUUAGUGUCCAGACACUUCAUCUGAGGGAACUUUGAUCUUGAACUUCCAGGACUGGGGUGUGGUAGACAGCUCAUCUAGCAUGCAUGGGGCUCUGGGUUCCAUCCUCAGCACCAAGGUGAUAAUAGUGAACCAUGGUCUUGGACAUGCCACCUCCAGAACUGAAACACAUGAUCCUGUUGUGUGUCAGCCGCUGGCUGUGGCACUUGGUUAUGGCAGCAUGGACUCACGACUGCCAGGCUAGGUGUCUUGCUGUCUUGUUUGUGGUUUGGGAGGGACCCUUCCCCGCCUUGUGACAGACAGCAUCCUUAACUGACUAGCUUCAGCACUUUGCCAGGUCACCUCUUGCGUUUUUCUCAGGUUACUACCGGGUUCUAUUCACAAAGGCAAGGUGACCUCCGCCCCAUCACUCUCACCGGUGUCUUAAGGGUUAGCUGACCAUUUUAAGGGGAUGCACUCAUGUUUUACCACAUGCCUGAUGUUGGUCUAAAAACCCAAAGAGGGAGGUCUGGGUAAGCCCAUUACAGUGAAUCCAUAUUAUAGGAUACCAAAAGGCCAUGUCAACUACACUCCAGAAAAAGUUUGAGGUUUGGCAGAAUGUUGAGAGCCACAGCCGAGUCGGAAUGGCCCCUGGCACUUUGCCAGAAGUAAUGGUUGAGAGGCGAGCCAUUAAGAUGAUGCUGGAUUGAUUCAAUUGUAUAUUAGACCUUUACUGUCUGGUAAUAGGAUGGCUCUUGCGUCGGGCGCCCCGCUACUUUGGAGUUCCCCUUGAGUUCUCCCGGUUUCCGAGAGUGAGUGCGCGCGCAGCCCGGGGGAGGGAGUUCCGGUUGGUGUGUGGUGUGUUCCUGGAGGAGCCGCGUGGGUGGCGUUCGGGAGAGUUCCCAGGGAGUGUGCUGGUGGAGUUCGGAAAUAAAGUUUGUUC
rnacentral:lncRNA from 1 species